UCCAGUAGUCAUUCCACCUCACAAUGUGAUCUUGACAGAUUUCACAGACUAAGCAGGGUUGGGUUUUGUCAGUACUUGGUUAAGAAGCAAGGGAAAAUCCAGGUACUGCCACAA
ensembl:rRNA 5S_rRNA 5S ribosomal RNA